rnacentral:rRNA from 1 species
GUCGUCAGCUCGUGUCGUGAGAUGUUGGGUUAAGUCCCGCAACGAGCGCAACCCUCGUGCCUAGUUGCCAACGGCUCGGCCGGGAACUCUAGGCAGACUGCCGGUGACAAACCGGAGGAAGGUGGGGAUGACGUCAAGUCCUCAUGGCCCUUAUGGGCAGGGCUACACACGUGCUACAAUGGCCGGUACAGAGGGUCGCCAACCCGCGAGGGGGAGCCAAUCCCAAAAAGCCGGUCGUAGUCCGGAUCGGAGUCUGCAACUCGACUCCGUGAAGUCGGAAUCGCUAGUAAUCGCGAAUCAGCAAUGUCGCGGUGAAUACGUUCCCGGGCCUUGUACACACCGCCCGUCACACCAUGGGAGUUGGCUGCACCAGAAGCCGGUAGUCUAACCGCAAGGAGGACGCCGUCCACGGUGUGGUCAAUGACUGGGGUGAAGUCGUAACAAGGUAGCC